GACGAACGCUGGCGGCGUGCUUAACACAUGCAAGUCGAACGGAAAGGCCUGCAGCUUGCUGCGGGUACUCGAGUGGCGAACGGGUGAGUAACACGUGGGUGAUCUGCCUUGCACUUCGGGAUAGGCUUGGGAAACUGGGUCUAAUACCGGAUAGGACAGCUGUUUAGUGUCAGUUGUGGAAAGUUUUUUCGGUGCAAGAUGAGCUCGCGGCCUAUCAGCUUGUUGGUGGGGUAAUGGCCUACCAAGGCGUCGACGGGUAGCCGGCCUGAGAGGGUGUACGGCCACAUUGGGACUGAGAUACGGCCCAGACUCCUACGGGAGGCAGCAGUGGGGAAUAUUGCACAAUGGGCGGAAGCCUGAUGCAGCGACGCCGCGUGGGGGAUGAAGGCCUUCGGGUUGUAAACUCCUUUCGACAGGGACGAAGCUUUUGUGACGGUACCUGUAUAAGAAGCACCGGCUAACUACGUG
rnacentral:rRNA from 1 species